GAUGAACGCUGGCGGCGUGCUUAACACAUGCAAGUCGAACGAUGAAGCCCAGCUUGCUGGGUGGAUUAGUGGCGAACGGGUGAGUAACACGUGAGUAACCUGCCCUUAACUCUGGGAUAAGCCUGGGAAACUGGGUCUAAUACCGGAGAGGAGCGUCCACCGCAUGGGGGGUGUUGGAAAGAUUUAUCGGUUUUGGAUGGACUCGCGGCCUACCAGCUUGUUGGUGAGGUAAUGGCUCACCAAGGCGACGACGGGUAGCCGGCCUGAGAGGGUGACCGGCCACACUGGGACUGAGACACGGCCCAGACUCCUACGGGAGGCAGCAGUGGGGAAUAUUGCACAAUGGGCGCAAGCCUGAUGCAGCGACGCCGCGUGAGGGAUGACGGCCUUCGGGUUGUAAACCUCUUUCAGUAGGGAAGAAGCGAAAGUGACGGUACCUGCAGAAGAAGCACCGGCUAACUACGUG
rnacentral:rRNA from 1 species